rnacentral:rRNA from 1 species
UACGGGGGGAGCAAGCGUUGUUCGGAUUUACUGGGCGUAAAGGGCGCGUAGGCGGUCAGCACAAGUCAGUUGUGAAAUCUCCGGGCUUAACUCGGAAAGGUCAACUGAUACUGUGCGACUAGAGUGCGGAAGGGGCAACUGGAAUUCUCGGUGUAGCGGUGAAAUGCGUAGAUAUCGAGAGGAACACCUGCGGCGAAGGCGGGUAGCUGGGCCGACACUGACGCUGAUGCGCGAAAGCCAGGGGAGCGAACGGG